rnacentral:tRNA from 2 species
CUUACUUUAGUUUACACUAGAAUAGGAGUUUUGGGGAUUUCAGGUCUCUGCGGAGAAGUAUGA